UUUUAUGAGAGUUUGAUCCUGGCUCAGGACGAACGCUGGCGGCGUGCCUAAUACAUGCAAGUCGAACGCUUUUUCUUUCACCGGAGCUUGCUCCACCGAAAGAAAAGGAGUGGCGAACGGGUGAGUAACACGUGGGUAACCUGCCCAUCAGAAGGGGAUAACACUUGGAAACAGGUGCUAAUACCGUAUAACAAUCGAAACCGCAUGGUUUCGGUUUGAAAGGCGCUUUUGCGUCACUGAUGGAUGGACCCGCGGUGCAUUAGCUAGUU
rnacentral:rRNA from 1 species